GCCUUAGAAGUUUAUAUAACGAGGAAGCGCGCGAACCACCAGCUCAGUCGCGACGCUCCGUUUCGAUCCACCGAUCCGAGCCGCGCUCUCCAAUUCUGAAGAUAAUAAAAAAAGAUCGGCGAAAUUUUACGUCGGUGAAGUUUUCGAGAGGUUACUACGCGUGCAAAGCGAAGAAAGGUAUCCGCGUGAUUGGGGUAGGAAGUUCGUCGAAACGAAAGGAACGUGGCCAUGGUGAACGGUGACAAGUGGCUUUUCCGGCGUGCGAAGUAAAAACACGCUCUACAUGCUGAGGAACUGGAGCAGUGGAAGUUGCGCGACCAAACGAGUAAAUCAGGAGGUGUACGAUGGAAUCUGGUCUGCUCUGAAUAGAAAAAAUAAUAACUCAGUUAGUGGCUUCCAGGCAGUCCGACGAUAGACCGGCAUCGAAGACCGAUAGACGUUUUCAGCUGACGUAGCCAGUUUAGAAUUGGAAAAAAACGAUGCAUCUGAUUUUACUCUGGGCGUUGGUCGCCAUAAUUGGCCGGGUACAUUGCAAAUGUAGCCUAAUACCGAUCGUGGAUGACGAACGGUCGAUCGCCUACGCGUGCACGGAAGGCGGCCUAAACGACCUCGAGGAGAUAUCCGACGAGGCAGAAUGGAUAGAGUUUACAGUGUCCCGACUCCACCAUAUACCGGGCAACGCGUUCUGGAGAUUCAAUAACCUUAGACGAUUAUCCUUCUACAGUUGCCACAUAAGAUUCAUCGAUCCAGACGCGUUUGCCGGUCUCGAUCGGUUGGAAUGGUUGAUAUUCCAUGGGACCGAGAUUCGCGUGGCCAGGACCGCGUGGUUCCGUCCUCUUCUUAACUUGAGAAAAUUGCUCAUGGACAAAUGCGGUUUGGUGCAUAUCGAACCCGAUGUUUUUCGCCAGCUGCCUAAGAUCGAAACUUUAGGGCUGCGAGAUAACGAUCUCAGUUGCUUACCGAUUAAGGAGUUGUCGUAUCUUCGAGAACUCAGGACCGUACGUUUCGACGGGAACCCUUGGCUCUGCGAAUGUCGACGAAGAUUGAACGAAUACCUUAAAGGUCGAUCUAUCGUUCAGGAAGCGCGAUGUUUCACAGGAACGAGCGUUUGCCAAUGUAUGGCGCUAAUCGGAUUUCCCGACCUGCCCUUCUCUUUUUCUCCGCAACUCACCAGCAAUUCCGACAAAAAUCGAACGACGAUUCAUGGGAACGAACUUCAGACCAACGUGCUCACCUCCUUGGACAAACUUCCCGACGAAACCACCUGGAUCGAGAUUUCCGGUUUGCCGAUAGACAAACUUCCAAGAUACGCGUUUUUCCGUUUCGGAAAUAGUUUGCGGAGCUUGGAUUUCAACUACUGUGGCAUCGAGACGAUCGACGACGACGCUUUCGCGGGAUUAAAUAGAUUACAGCGUCUCUCGAUGGUCGGCAAUCGGUUUGCGAUAGUCGGUGAAAAUUGGUUUCGAUAUCUCUUCAGUCUUCAACAAUUGAUUCUGAAACAAAACGGUAUCGAACAGUUCGAAAGAAACUCUUUGUCGAGUGUCGGCGAUAGUUUACGGUAUCUCGAUAUACGAAAUAAUCGGCUGCGUUGUAUAGCAAUCGAGGAAUUAGCCGAACUGAAGAAAUUAGAAAAGGUGGACGCCGUCGGUAAUCCUUGGCUCUGUAGUUGUCGCAAUGUUCUGGAAAAUUUUCUGACGCGGAGAAUCGUUGGAUUCGACAUUAACGUGGGUCGAUGUUACAACAACAACAACGAGAACGAGAUUCCAGAUGUCAGCAGUGGCCGACCGGUGCAACAGACAACGGUCAGCGAAACUGCGGUUACAAGCGGCGAAAUAUAUUGGACUACCUUCAAAACCACCGUGGAACAAUCGAAUGUCACGCUGACCGGACCAACGACUUAUAUCGGCGGAUGCAGUCCUGACAAAACUGACGGAUCGAGCUACACUUGUCGAGCUAUAACAUCGAUCGAGGAAUUGGGCGUAAUACCUUCCACGGUGCACACUAUCCGAGUCGUCCAGUCGAAUAUAAAAAAGAUUCCGGAAUACGCAUUCUUACGCUUCAACGAAUAUCUAUCGACACUCGAGCUCAGAGACUGUAACAUCGAGAACAUCGAGCCUCGAGCUUUUUCCAAUCUCCGCAGACUCGAGUAUUUGUCUCUACGCGGUAAUAAAUUAGAAUUUAUCGACGCAGAAAUGUUCCGGGAUCUGUACAAUCUGAAAUGGCUGGAUCUGUCGCGUAACAACGUUUACAGAAUCGCGAAUGACGCGUUCAACUGUUUGCCGCACCUCGCGACCCUCGACAUCUCGGAAAAUGUCAUGAACUGCAUCGGCAUCGAAUACAUGGCUGCUCGUCUCCGUCACCUGACGUCUCUACGGGUUUCCAACAAUCCUUGGUCCUGUAUGUGCGCCAACAAAAUAGCCGAGUUCUUAAACGGCCGUGGAAUUAGCUACGACAACCGUUCGCUGUUAUCGAAGGAAGAUUGUUACUUUACGCGGAUUCCAAAUGCUACUGUCGAUCCUCCGACGACGAGCGUCGUUCACUCGACCAAGAACGAGACGAUCGAGGGAAGCUGCGUUUCUCGCGAGGACAGCAGGGGACUCGUAUACGUGUGCGACAAUGGUAAUUUAUUAUUGUUGCAGACGAUACCGGCCGAGGUCGCCUCCAUCGUCUUUCAAAACUGUAACCUACCGCGACUACCGACCGAGGUUUUCUCUAGAUUCACCAAUCUGCGGGAACUGGUAAUCAGGAAGUGUAAUUUAAUGACCGUCGAAGAAGGCGCGUUCCGUGGUCUCGGCAAAUUAAAAAAUUUAACGAUUCAAGACAAUCGGCUGGAAAUGAUCGGCUCGUCUUGGUUCGUUCUGGAAAAUCUCGAGAGGCUAGAUUUACGAGGUAAUUCCAUCGAUUAUAUCGAAUCUGGAGCUUUCCGUCACUUGAGUCGACUUAGUUAUUUGAAUCUGGAAGGUAACGCCUUCAGAUGUAUCUAUACCAGCGACUUGAACGAUAUGCCUAACGUGUACAUUGUCGAGUUUUUCGGAAAUCCGUUGAAAUGGAGGUGCAGGCUCGAAUUGGAGCAAUUUCUCGAGGCUCGAAAAAUAAAGUUUGUCAAGAUCCAGAACUCGUGCGAGGGUUUGAAAUUAACGAGAAGUCUUCUUUUGCAAAAUAAAACGGACGGUUCGUACGAUUGUCCAUCCGAUUGUUCGGCGGCUACUCGCAUCGGUCAACAUUUUCUUCCUCUACUCGCGUUAUCGUUUUUACUAACGCUUAUUCCUUAGUUACCAUGUACCUACAAAUACGAACACAGUUUCAAACUUUUCAAGUUUCUCGUUAAAUCAAAUUAUCAUUCGCCACCUAACUAUGAUACAGUGAUAUAUGUGUUCGAUAAAUGUUAAACGCGAUUCAUGCUACGUUCGAAUACUUAUUAAUUAAUAACUGGGCAAGUUCGACUGUGUUAGAGUAACGCGAUGCUUAACGAUCGUGAUGCACAUAAGAUGAUUAAUAACGUGUUAUCGAAGGUGUAUACGCGGAAGUAGCUGCCGAAUCGAGAGAAACCAGCGAACAACAAUAAUUCCAAAGUACCGUUGAUAUUUCUCAACUUUGAAAAUUACCCACUGUUAGUAUUAUGUGCCAUAAUAUAUCUAAUUUAUUUGCAUCGAAGGAUCGUCAUUUUUAAUAAUAUGUUUAGCCGAACGCGUUUACCAGAAAAAUUAAUUUCAAAUUGAAAGUGUUACGUAUCGAAAGAACGAAAAAAAUUAACCGAAGCAGACGCGCAAAAAGGACAGAGGACUUUAACGCAUUAAUUAACUUACGCUUAAUUAAACGUAUUUGUUAAAUGUAUACAUAAACUUGUUACAUAUAUUUAUAUAUACGCUAUACCUUCGUUACUUUUUAUUCAUCCAUUAAAAAAAGAUGUUUACCACUUA